rnacentral:tRNA from 1 species
GACCUCGCCGAGGAGCGUUUCGCGGCCAUCCUCGACGACGGAGGAACGGGCGGCGGCUCGUAGUCCGCCCGCGUGCGAGGCGCGGUCCAGGUCGC